rnacentral:lncRNA from 1 species
AAGAAGAAGGAGUUGGAGGAGAAGAGCUCACUUGGAGGCCUUGGAGCAUCAUCUUCUUCCUCAUUUCUCACCUUGGUAGCUUGGAGCUUGCUUUUGAAGCUUGGUGGUGGACCACUCCUCAACCCUUGAGGAUCUUGGACUUGGUUUGGAGCUUCCUAGAGGUAUGUGACUAGUUCUUCUCCUCUAGAUUCUAGUUUUGAAGCUUUUUGCUUGAUGAAACCCUAGAUUGGGAUUCUAGGGUUAGUUUUGGGGCUUUUUGAUUUGAGAGCUUUGGAACCUUUUUGAUUGGUUUAGAACCUUCCUUUAGGUUGGAUUGGGAGGGUUCUUGCCCCCAUUUGGAGUUUGAGUGAGGAUUUCUUCACUUAAGGUGAGUUUCCUCCAUCUUAGCCUAGGUUACUUAUUGAUUGAGCUUAGGGUUGAUCGUAAGGUUUGCUUAACCCCUGUUCCUACAUCUUUAGGGUGCUAGGAGACUAGUCGGCACCUUCGUCGGAGCUUACGAAGAAUCGCGAGAGUUGUGGUAGGUUUGACUUCAUGAAAACGGGGCAAAAUGGCCCCUAUGCUUUCUAAAAUCUUCGUAAAGUUUUUUUUAAGAGCAAAUCCAUAUUAAACAUGAUUUAUAUGAAUUUUAGAACACUUGAUAUGCAUGCCUUAUAUAUACCUUGAAAUUUACACUCUAUAUAGUAGAGCUAUAUGUGUAGACUGCAUGCAUUGUGAAAGGUGGUUGGCUUUGCAAGUUGAGAACAUGUCUCUUAUAUUUGAAAUGAGUAGAAUUAUGCAUCAUGAACAUAAAUGCCAUGCUUGAACUCGUUGAACAAUAGUGUCAUAAAGGGGCACUUGAACCUAGCAAACUAUGAGAAUGCAACAUAGAGACAUAGCGAUAGGCCAUUGGGUAUCGACUAUAUUCCAUGUUUUAGACAUGAUGACAUAGUGAUAGGCCAUCGACACAGUUGACAUGUAUUCCAUAUUUUAGACAUGAGGACUUGAUGCUUGAGACGGACUGAUAUGCAUGCUUGCCAUUGUGCUCAUUCGCACAUGCUUGUGAGGGUCGCUCCCUACAAGCCGGCACUCCGGAGUUGGCCAUCGCGAUACGUUCGCCGUGCGGGAUUGGGCGCCGAAGUGGAUUGCUGUGGGAAAGGCUCAUUCCUAGGGUGGGGAUGUUGACUACCACGGGGCUAUUAGGCACGGUAAAGCCAGACAGCCUUCGGGUGGGUCUUAUGCCAGACAGCCUUCGGGUGGGUCUUAUCAAAGUUGAACUGUAAACAAUUAAAGUGAUAAGUGCACAUUGACUAGAAUAGUAAACAAUGACAUCUUUACUAUUUACAUCGUGGGCAUUGGAUUAGUUGCAUACUUAUGCAUUUGCAUGUUGGAUACUCUUGUGCACAUACUUGUAGUAAUUGCCUUCUUACUUAUGCAAAUCAUGCUAAGUAGAGAUAUCAUGGUUGAAUAGUAUUCAUAUUUAUUUCCUAGUUGUUCUUAUCGCUUUGGCUUAUACUUGUACACUGACCCACUUUUGUAGUUUUGGGCCUAGUGGCGUAUUUCAAUGAAGUCAGUAAUUACCCACUGAAAACUAUUAUUUAAUAGUUCUCACGCCCCUGUUUCUAUAUGUUUUCCUUUCAGAGCCUUCGGCACCGGCGUAGGCACGGGAUCUCGGCAAGGGUGUCGCGUAGCUAGCUCGGGAGAGAGUCCGUUUUGCGAUAGGUGGUUCCUUCUUUUGUUUGUGUCAGAGAGAGGGAGAGUUUUGGCACCAUGUAUAGAGAGAUCACCUUGUAUUCAGAGUUGUACUUGCUUUGGGACUCCUUUUGUGUUAUCUUAUGUUUUACCUAGCGGAUUAUCAGUUUUAUGAUCUUCUUCUUGUUGUAGCAUCUCGUAGUUACUUUGCUCUGAUACUCCUAGAUGCUUUCUUGUAUUGUUUUAUUUACCGCUUUAUUUUAGACGCCUUAUAUGUUUUAGACGUACGGCGGGUAUGGACACGCGCCGGGCGGGCUUCCGCUGGGUCCCGGGGCGUGACAAGCUCAACCCCCACAUGCUUACAGGAACCGGUCCCCUCCCAGAGGGACCGGUCCCCGAGAGCACAAAACCUGCAACUUGUACAGAUUUUGCACAGCUUGCUCUCGCAGGUCCUUCUCAAUACACUUUUUGCAUUUUUAUCGCAUUCGGACUUUCCGAAGCAUACCAACUCAACAACAAGUCGAUUCUAAUCGAAGUUCAACUCUCGGAUUUUGAUAAUUCAUUUCCUUACAAGCAGCAAAUUAAUUUUUAAACAACAAAAUUUCUGUACCUGUGGGCAUAAGAAACUCAUUAUCUAGAAAUUCAAUCCACUAUCCUAUUCUAGUCAAAAUUCAAAAUUAUUAUUUAUUUGACUACAAUAAAUAAUCAAACUUUAAUUAAAAAGUCAAACUUUAAUUCAAUGUCAGUAAAUUCUUAUACAUUCAUCAUUAUUUAUAGCAUGCUACCUUAUUUGACAUUGAAUGACUAUUAAAAUUGAAUUAGGAAUCUGUACGAAUUUUCGGGUUAAAGUUAGUUCACUAUCAUCUUAUAAAAAUACCGUAAGUGAUCACAUGCCAUGACUAGGAUGCGGUGGCUAUUUCUGGACAUAGUUGAUCUCAUAAAUCCUUAUAUGAUAUUGAAUGACUGAAAAUUUCAUGUUAUUCCAAAAUGCAGUGAAAAAAAAUAAAAGUCCAAAAUAAUUUUCUUAACAACUUUAUGUGGCUCAAAUUUAUAAACUGUGUGAAGUCUAUAUACCCUACUCUAAUUUUUAUGAUGAUCUUAUAUAUGUUUAGAAUAAUAACAUAACAAAAUUGUAUCGCAAAAUAUUAAUCUAAACAUACUACUUUAUAAUCUAAAUUAGCAUACGAGUAGAAUAAAAAUCAUAUAAGACAAAUACCAAACAUUAUAUANUAGCUCAUACCGGGAGAGGAGAACCGUCGAUCCCGUUGAAUCACUACCGGGAGAGGAGAACCGUCAAUCCCGUAGUUCCGAUUCACUUGUUUCAUGGCAUACCGGGAGAGGAGAACCGUCGAUCCCGUUGAAUCACUACCGGGAGAGGAGAACCGUCAAUCCCGUAGUUAUGAUUCUAUUCUUGCCAUCACACCAUUCCUAGGAAUUCCGGAAUCCACUUUCACAACUUAAGGGUUUUACUCUUUUACUCUAUGUUGACGACCUUUCUAGGUCUAUACUAUUCACUUUCUAGUGGUCCUAUUACCACUAUAAUUCAUAACUUAGUUUACUUUUACUGAGUGUUUCUUUACAUUAUAACCUAGGUUCAUUUACACCAGGUUUAAUAUUCUCUCUCCUAGAUCUCAACUCUAGGUUUAUUUGCUUGACCUAUGUCCAAUGACACUAGGUUAAUGUCCGACCUAGGUUCAAUAACACUAGGUUCAUUUCAUGUCCAACCUAUGUUUAGCAACACUAGGUUUAUGCCACUCGAUCUAUACAAUGACCAACCUAGGUUUAAUAACUUAGGUUUCAUGCCACUCGAUCUAUAUAUCACCCGAGGUAUCCUUGCCUAGGUUCACAAUUCACAUGUUUUCAUGUAGCUUGUUACCGCUGAGGUUUCUAAUCAACGAGAAUUAUCGACAUUCAUAUAGCUUGAACUAUGGUACAUUCAUUUUCAUAUAUGUUUAGAUAUAUACAUCAGAUGUCGACAAUUAUGUAUGCUUUAGCAUCUAUGUUCACAUUUCAUAUUCACCUUACAUGCCCCUGACAUUUACAGGUUCAACUUUUAUAUAUCAUAUAGUUGCUCAUAAGAAUUUAGCAUAACUAUGCAUCUAGCUUUCACGUUCAUAUAUCGACAAUUAUAUGUAUGUAUUCUUAGGUCUCUCGCAUUCACUUUCAUAUAUGUUUAGCCCUUUGCAACUAGCAUUUACAAUUCACGUAUUCAUAUUCAUAUGAUAACUAUUAGAGAUCAUCUACGCUAAUAUUCACAUGUCAACAAUCAUAUUCAUAUAUGCGUCAAAUGAAACCAUACUUUACUUUGACAUGGGAAGCGACCUAAUCGCUUCGGUAAGCACAACCCACCUUUACUUGAUACUGGAAUGCGAGAAAUCCGCUUCUCGCACUUUCCAGAGAACCGCGACCCGCGCUCUUGACAAUUGUAGUCGAAAAUGCUCUUUUGGCGAUAUCUUCGCGUAGGCUCGACGGAUUGCCGAACCGACUUCGCCAACGCGUUUGUUUUACCCCCAAUUAGGUUGUACGCGGUCAAUUUCACAUUAGGACUUCUAUCCUGCAAAAGUGCAUUAUUGAGGUCAGUUCAAUAUAACUUCUUUUACACGAGUUCCAUACAAAUUUAUAGAGCAAUUCAACUUCAACCAUUAAUCUAAGAACCCCAUAACCAGCUAAUCUAGGAAUACAAGAGAUCCACUUUAGCUAUAACAUCAUUCCUACAAUUUUCAUAUACAACCCAAGUUUACUUGCACGUUGUUAGCAUAUUAUAGUUUCUAAUGUUAUAUAGCAUCUACAAGCUUUAGCCUCUAAUAGAUGUAAAUUCCUGUUAUAACUAUGCUCCUACAACUCUAUUUUUUUAGACCAAUUAUGCCACAUAUAUAGCAGCCCAAGUUCACAUAUAUGCUGUCAACAUAUAACUCUUCCACUAGGUUUUGAUAACACAUACAAGUUUUUUGUAGAAUUCAAAACCCCAAGUUAGAUCCCUUUCUUAGGUUAAAUACCACAAAUCAUAAUCAGGAAUUAUGACUAACCUGUCUCAAAUUACCUCUUUAACAAACAAUUCACUUGCAUACUAUUCCAUCUUUAUAGCUGGUUAUAGGUUCUUCAUGGCAUGUAGAAGAUAUAGCAACCAUAAUCUAUAGUUUAGACCCUUUUUUUUUUUUCUUUAGACCAAUUAACCUAACCCAAAAUCAGGAAUUACAAAAUAACCGGCAGGAUAGCUACUUAGUUCCCAGCUGCCAAUAUUCAUACAUAAUACACAUGGCUUCUUACAUAGCAUCUACACUCUUUAACAACCAAAAUCCAUAGUUUAAACCUUUUUAAUUUCAGCACAAAUCCAUCAAAAUGACUUCUCCUAAGAUCCACCAUAAAAAUUCAUCAAAAGAUCUGAUUUGAAAUUAUAAUAAUAAAAUGCUAACUUCGCAGUCGAAGCGCCGAAAAAAUCCAACGCGCGCGGGGGAUCGAUCGGCUCGUCGAACGGCACCAAUUUCAUCACUUUCUUCUUCUUCUUCUUCUUUUUUUCUUUUUCCUUUUCUCUUCCUUUCCCUUUCUCUAUCAUGCGUACAGGGAGAGGAUAAGAAUGAAGGUCUCCUGGCAGCUUAGUGGAAACCCACUAAGCAAUGUAACAAUUGCCUUUAGGUCCACAAGUCAUCAAUAUUAUCACUUCAGUCUAGUUCUAGUCUGAUAUAUUUAAUUGGAGCUCUUAUGAAUGUCCGAUUGAGUUCAAAUUUGACAGGAAUGCUCGUUUUUACUUCAUAAGUCCACUGAAAUUUUAACAUUUCAGUUUCGACCCCUUUUGGUUACGGCGAACUGUCCCGAACUGUAAUCUUUAUCAGAUAACUUCCAGAUACUAUUUCUCUCUCUACAGGUGUCAGAAAAAUAUGAAACUUCAAAUCUAGACUCAUAAUAACGUUCCUGACAUCUCUGCUAAUUUUCAUAAUUUUCUGACACUGUGCAUUUUUCUGCUAAUUUCUCAGUCUCGUUCUUUACAGAAAAUUCUACAUUUUCCGUUUUCACUCCGAUUUCUUCCAAACACUUCCAAAAUAUUCCAAGGGACCUUUACAAGCUACUAAUUUAAUUUGGAAGCAAUUCCUUUUCAUUUUGACAUUAUUUGAGCCGAAUUAGCAAUAGAAUUAGCUCAAAUUCCAUUACAUGGUAGCAAUUUCUCCUUUUUGCACUACCACUUUGUACUGAACACUUCAAAACCCUUUGAAAACACACUCCUGGUUUUUUCAAAGCUUCACAAUUGAUUCGGAGAUACCACAAUUUAUCCUCACGCCUUACUUUAAUUCUUUUAAUCAAAGUUAGCGUCGGAACUCCGAAAAUUCUCUUUAUAUUUCAUUUCGCGCCCAAUUUGCGCCGAAACACUUAUUUAUCUCCAGAAUUCAUUCACACGCAUCACAAAUCACUCGAAGAUGAUGUCCAACUAGCUCAAUCCUCACUUUGACCCUCUAGGUCAAAGUUGACAUCGCAACUCCAAGUUUCCAUAUGUUACACGAUCUAUGUCAUAGUGUCACUUUGUUCUUUUGCUUACUUUGGGUGCUCACUUUCUCUCUCAUGCAUACACAUAGGGUUUUCGACAUUUAUAAGGUUCUCAACCAUAACAUUAGGCACGUUGUACUCACAAUCAUGCAAUCAUCACAUUUUAUCAUUACUUUACCCUAAAAUGCAUGCAACAAUAUAGGUGUAUAUGCUCAAUCGAAUGAUACAUUAGGCAUAGAGGGAAGUUCAAUAAGUUUGAGAAGCACCACCCACCUUGUAGGUCUAUCUAGGUGUAAGAUAUCGAAAUUCGACGAAAACGGCUAACUUUGGCACAAUGGACCAAAGUAGGCAAUUGAACGAUUUGGACAAGUUCCAUUCGGCAUUCCAACAAGUUUGGAAGAGUAAUAAUGAGUUCCAAAAGUGUUGGAAUAGUUCUAGCGUUGUUGGACGCGAAAAGAAAUCGAAACAGAUCGAAAAACAGCUUUCUGGAGCUGGUGUACCGGUACACGCAUGAUGGCUGUACCGGUACAGCCAUUGCUGCCAGGCUGCGCAGCCCUCGGGUUUGCUCUCGGGUUUGGCCGUUACGCAGGGCGCGUACCGGUACGCAAACCCGUGUACCGGUACACGAGCGCGCAGCAGCGGGUUAAGUUGCAAAAUCUGAUAAAAGGAGGGCUUUUUAGCAUUUUGUUACAAUAGAGGACUUAACCCUCAUGCCCUCAGCUCUCUCCUCUCUCACUCCCACAGCCCCUCUCUCUCUCUAGCUCUCUCUCUCUCUCUAACCGGUUGGGAGAAAAGAAGAAGAAGAAAAAGAGAAGGAAAAAGAAGGAAAAAGAGAGGAAGAAAAGGAAGGAGAAGAAGGAGAAGAAGGUUUUGAAGCCCUUCUUCAUCUCGUUUUUGACCUAGGGCUUGCUUUGGAGCAAACCCUAGAGGUAAGCCUCAACCCCUUUCAUGGUAACUUGUGAUUUCUAGGGUUUGGAUGGUUUUUGUUGCUUUUGAUGGUUCAAAUGGAACCUAAUGAGCUUAGAGAACAUGGAUUUAGCUCACAUUGAAGCUAUAAUCCAUAACCUCUCAUGGAUCCUAACCCUAGGGUUAGAUUUUGGGGAUUUUGUAAAUAGUGAGGUUUGAUCUCUUUUGAGGGGUUAGAAAUCUAAUUGCUAUGCUUAUAAACGCGUAGGCGAAGACGGUUCGUUGAUCCGACGAGUGAGCGCGAAGAUA